AUGAAUCCAAGGACCAUCUUACGCGUGUCAAGAAUCCACAAACCUUGCUGCUUGUCUCUUCAUUUCUCUUCCUCAGCUUCAAAAUCCAAUGCCAAACUUUCUGAUGACUCAAGUUACAGCCUUUCCACCUGCGUUGCCUCCUUACAAGGCUGUGCCCGCCACAAGAAUCUCAGCAAAGGCAAACAACUCCACUCUUACAUGCUCACCAAUGCCUUUCUCGACUCUCCUGUAUCCACCACCAGCCUUAUCAACAUGUACUCAAAAUGCAACCAAAUGGAAGAUGCUGUUUUGGUGUUCAAUCACCAAGCCCAUCAUUGCAAUGUGUUUGCCUAUAGCGCAAUCAUUUCUGGGUUUGUUUUAAAUGGGCUUGCGGAAGAUGGGUUUGUGUUUUAUAAGCGUAUGAGGUGGUUGGAUGUUAGGCCAGACGAGUUUACUUUUCCUUGUGUGAUCAAAGCUUGUUGUGAUAUUGUGGAGGUUAGGAAGAUUCAUGGGCUGUUGUUUAAACUUGGGUUGGAGUUGGAUGUGUUUAUUGGCAGUGCUUUGGUCAAUGCCUACUUGAAAUUUGGGUUGAUUGUAGAGGCACAAGAGGUGUUUGAGAAAUUGCCCGUGAGGGAUGUUGUGCUUUGGACUGCACUGCUUAAUGGGUAUGCGCAAAUUGGGAGGUUGGAUGAGGUUUUGGAGGUUUUUAAGAGAAUGGGUGUAGAAGGGGUUGUUCCUGAUAGAUUUACGGUUACCGGGGUGUUAUCGGUUUUAGCUUUGAUGGAAGAGUUUAACAAUGGGAGAGCAAUUCAUGGGUUUGCGAUGAAAAUGGGGUAUGUUUCAGGUGUCUCUGUUUCCAAUGCCUUGAUUGAUAUGUAUGGGAAAUGCAUACAUAUUGGAGAUGCUUUGGAAAUUUUUGAGACGAUAAAUGAGAAAGAUAUGUUUUCGUGGAAUUCAAUCAUAUCUGUUCAUGGACAAUGCGGAGAUUAUGAUGUUACUUUAAGACUUUUUGAGAGGAUGUUAGGUGCUGGAGUUAAGCCUGAUUUGGUUACUAUCAUAGCAGUCCUUCCUGCUUGCUCUAAUCUGGUUGCACUGAUGCUUGGAAGACAGAUUCAUGGGUAUAUGAUAGUCAAUGGGUUGGGGAAGGAUGGCAAUCAUAAAGAUACUGAUGAUGUGCCAGUGAACAAUGCUAUUAUGGACAUGUAUGCAAAAUGUGGCAGUAUGACAGUAUGAGAGAUGCUCAUUCAGUUUUUUGUAAGAUGAGAAAUAAAGAUGUGGUCUCAUGGAGCAUCAUGAUCAUGGGUUGUGGCAUGCAAGGUCAUGGUGAUGAGGCUUUGGAUGUGUUUUCUCGUAUGUGUGAGGCACAAAUUAAGCCUGAUGCUGUCACAUUUAUUGGGGUAUUGUCUGCAUGCAGCCAUGCAGGCCUCGUGAGACAUGGGUGUGAGUUAUUGACGCUGAUGAAGUCAAAAUAUGGUGUGGAUCCAACUAUUGAGCAUUAUGCCUGUGUGAUUGACAUGCUCGGUGCUGGGCAGCUUGAGGACGCUUAUGAAUUGGCACAAGCAAUGACUAUCGAGGCCAAUCCAAUGGUAUGGAGGACUUUGUUAGCAGCAUGUUGGCUCCGUGGUAAUGCUGAUCUUGCUGACAUUGUUGUACGACAGGUUCUUAAACUUGAACCAGAGCAUUGUGGAGAUUACGUUCUAAUGUCAAAUAUUUAUGGAGUAAGCGGUCGAUAUGAAGACGUAUUAGAUAUUAGACAGGCAAUGAGGCAACAAAAUGUGAAGAAGGUACCAGGGUGUAGUUGGAUUGGGCUCAAGAAUGGUGUGCGUACUUUUAUUACGCGUGAUAUGACCCAUCCUGAAACCAACCUUAUUUAUGUAACUUUAAAUUCAUUGACUGUGCGUCUGCAUGAGUAUGGUUAUGUGCCUAAUCUCUAACAUUGGGGUUGUGCUGAAAAUCUAGCAUGGAACUAUGCCAAUAGGAAAUUCUUUAAUUUUCCCUGGGAUAGGUGGGAAAGAAGGCAAAGUAAGAUUGUAUCAAAGAGUAUUAACAGUUUUGUUUUGGUUUGUGUGCAAAACAAAGUGGCAAUGUUUUGCAUCAGAUAAUUUUGAUAUUUUAAAGGAAAAACAACACUACUACUGUACAAUGCAUUCAAGAUCAUUCACUGGACAGCAUCAGGAGAAAAGAGCCUGAAUCCACAAAAGGAUCAUGAUUGAGUUGAGCACUAGAAGACUAACCUGAGCUGAUGUCCCCAACUUACAGAUUCAAAUAUGGUAAAGAGGAAUUCUGACACAAACAAAACAAAUGAUUCAGACACAAACAAAACAGAUGAGGAUCUGGAAAGUCAUGAAACUGGCAGUUUUAAGGCUGAUCGAGACUCAGUGAAGUUCUCUCCUGAUAUAAAUAGUAUUGCAAGUUCAGCUGUGAUUCCUGUGAAGUAUUCUGCAACCUCUUAUUUGUAAACAUCAAUAAGGCGUGGUCUUGCCAUGAUCUUUAGUUGCCAGGUCUGUGAAAACAUUUUGUCUCAAAACAUGUGAGAAAGGGGUGGUGGUAGCAUGUUGUAGUGGGUGUAAUAAUCUACACCCGAUUGCAGAUUUUCUCAUAUGGUUUAGAGAACCAGGGAAAUUUUGAAGAAUACCUAGCUGCUUGUGACAAGGAAGUGAAGAAUGGUUCUGUUGAGACCUUGAAUCUGAUGCUUGAAGAUUUAGCUGGAAGGAUACUGUGAAAGAAUUAUACAACAGUAUUACAGAUAAGAUAUCUAAGUUAUAAAUAA